UGGUCUCAGAGACUGUGAGUUCUUCAAGGC
rnacentral:piRNA from 1 species